GGNUAUGAAGGUGAUUUGGUUGCAAAAUUUGUCAUCCCACUAAUCACCAGGGUUGAUUUGACUGAUCUGGCUUGCUAGGUGGGUCACCUUUUCCUUCCUUGCAGCUCCAUGUGGGUCCCUUCUGAGGUAGUGUGCUUAGUGGAAGAGAAUGGUGCCAACAUCAUUAAGAAGGAGCUGCUCCAGCAAGGGAAAACAUGAUGGUGUCCUCCUUGUUUUGGUAUAGGGUAAGAGUGGGAUCAGAGACAUUCUUGUUCU
rnacentral:sRNA from 1 species